rnacentral:tRNA from 1 species
GGGGAUAUAGCUCAGUGGCACAGCACCUGCCUGGUAAGCACCAGGUCCUGAGUUCAAUUCCCAGUACCA